UACGAAGGGGGCUAGCGUUGCUCGGAAUGACUGGGCGUAAAGGGUGCGUAGGCGGGUCUUUAAGUCAGGGGGGAAAUCCUGGAGCUCAACUCCAGAACUGCCUUUGAUACUGAAGAUCUUGAGUUCGGGAGAGGUGAGUGGAACUGCGAGUGUAGAGGUGAAAUUCGUAGAUAUUCGCAAGAACACCAGUGGCGAAGGCGGCUUACUGGUCCGGUUCUGACGCUGAGGCGCGAAAGCGUGGGGAGCAAACAGG
rnacentral:rRNA from 1 species